rnacentral:rRNA from 1 species
CCUACGGGAGGCAGCAGUGGGGAAUAUUGCACAAUGGGGGAAACCCUGAUGCAGCGACGCCGCGUGAGUGAAGAAGUAUCUCGGUACGUAAAGCUCUAUCAGCAGGGAAGAAAAUGACGGUACCUGACUAAGGAGCCCCGGCUAAAUACGUGCCAGCAGCCGCGGUAAUACGUAGGGGGCCAGCGUUAGCCGGCUUUAAUGGGUGUGAAGGGAGCGUAGACGGCAGCACAAGUCUGGAGUGAAAUCCCUGGGCUUAACCCCGGAACUGCGUUGGAAACUGUGCGGCUGGAGUGCAGGAGGGGUAAGCGGAAUUCCUAGUGUAGCGGUGAAAUGCGUAGAUAUUAGGAGGAACACCGGUGGCGAAGGCGGCUUACUGGACUGUAACUGACGUUGAGGCUCGAAAGCGUGGGGAGCAAACAGGAUUAGAUACCCCUGUAGUC